AUAUUCUAAGAUUUUUGGGAAUUCUCGAUCACCGUAUCACGUGUGGCCAAAGUCAAAUCCAUUAUUGAACAUUGGCACUCCGCUGAUUUGGUGAUCGACUUUUCUGGAAUAACAUUUUAGUAAG
rnacentral:pre_miRNA from 14 species